rnacentral:misc_RNA from 1 species
AUCAUAAUCAACCAGUUGCUGAUAUCAGAAGAAAAUCUACUGACUGAUUAAUGCUCUCAAUUCUCUUAUCCUUUCCCAACUCCACCAACUCCAUAAUUCUAAGAUGCGACUGUUAUGAAAAACAUGAAAAUGAGAUUUCAGAAUACAAUUAACUUAAUUCACUUGGUUUUCUUAUCCUGUCCUAACUCCAUUGACUCAGUAAAGACUGUUCCAUGGAAUUUAAGAUGAUACACCUUUCCAAUGCAACAGAACUAGAUUUUGUAAUUCACUCAACUCUUCAAGGUUGUGUGCAAGAAGCAGAAAAAGUUAUAACAAUAGACCAAUGCAAUUUGCUAAAUCCCUGUAAUGAUAGCAAAACUUUGAUAGAAGAUGUUGUAGUUCAUGUGGGGCCAAAUUCAAUUUGAA